AACGAACGCUGGCGGCAUGCCUAACACAUGCAAGUCGAACGAGACCUUCGGGUCUAGUGGCGCACGGGUGCGUAACGCGUGGGAAUCUGCCCUCAGGUACGGAAUAACUCAGGGAAACUUGAGCUAAUACCGUAUAAUGACUUCGGUCCAAAGAUUUAUCGCCUGGGGAUGAGCCCGCGUCGGAUUAGCUAGUUGGUGAGGUAAAGGCUCACCAAGGCGACGAUCCGUAGCUGGUCUGAGAGGAUGAUCAGCCACACUGGGACUGAGACACGGCCCAGACUCCUACGGGAGGCAGCAGUGGGGAAUAUUGGACAAUGGGCGCAAGCCUGAUCCAGCAAUGCCGCGUGAGUGAUGAAGGCCUUAGGGUUGUAAAGCUCUUUUACCCGGGAAGAUAAUGACUGUACCGGGAGAAUAAGCCCCGGCUAACUCCGUGCCAGCAGCCGCGGUAAUACGGAGGGGCUAGCGUUGUUCGGAAUUACUGGGCGUAAAGCGCGCGU
rnacentral:rRNA from 1 species